UACGUAGGUGGCGAGCGUUAUCCGGAAUUAUUGGGCGUAAAGCGCGCGCAGGCGGUUCCUUAAGUCUGAUGUGAAAGCCCACGGCUCAACCGUGGAGGGUCAUUGGAAACUGGGGAACUUGAGUGCAGAAGAGAAGAGCGGAAUUCCACGUGUAGCGGUGAAAUGCGUAGAGAUGUGGAGGAACACCGAUGGCGAAGGCAGCCCCCUGGGCUAACACUGACGCUCAGGCACGAAAGCGUGGGGAGCAAACAGG
rnacentral:rRNA from 1 species